rnacentral:RNase_P_RNA from 1 species
UUAACUGCUGCAAACUUGAUUUGUAGAGGAAAGUCCGCGCUGGUACAACCUGCGAUGGUUGUAGUGAUCGUGUCAGCACCAAUAAGGCUGAGCUUAGACGUCAGGGAAAAACUCUCGUAGUUUGAACCUAAAGUGCCACAGAGACGAGAAGGGGCGACCCGGAAAUGAAACGCGGUAAACACCACGAACCAGAAACCCAAAUUAUGGUAGGGGAACGCCCGCAAGGGAACAGAACGCGGCUUAUAAGU